UAUGACUCUCGGCAAUGGAUAUCUUGGCUCUUGCAUCGAUGAAGAGCGCAGCGAAAUGCGAUACGUGGUGUGAAUUGCAGAAUCCCGUGAACCAUCAAAUCUUUGAACGCAAGUUGCGCCCGAGGCCAUUUGGCUAAGGGCACGUCCGCCUGGGCGUCAAGC
rnacentral:rRNA from 1 species